rnacentral:tRNA from 1 species
GCAGCUCAGUGGUAGAGCACUUGCCUAGCAUGCAUGAGAUCCUGGAUUCAAUCCCCAGGAUUGCA